rnacentral:misc_RNA from 1 species
AGCGAGUUGUGUACACUUCCAGUGCAUCAACAAUUGUAUUUAGUGACAAGGUUGUGGACACAAUGGAUGAGGGCUUUUGGAGUAAUGUGGAUUACAUAAAGUCCAUUAACUACUUUACUUUUGGUCCUUACAUGAUUUCCAAGACAUCGACGGAGAAGAUAGCUCUUGAAUUUGCAGAAGAGCAUGGAUUGGACCUUGUGACAGUAAUUCCUUCUUUUAUUGUCGGUCCCUUUAUUUGUCCUAAGUUCCCUGG